GUUGGGAAUCUUGGACAAUGGGGGAAACCCUGAUCCAGCCAUGCCGCGUGAGUGAUGAAGGCCUUCGGGUUGUAAAACUCUUUCGACGGGGACGAUCAUGACGGUACCCGUAGAAGAAGCUCCGGCUAACUUCGUGCCAGCAGCCGCGGUAAUACGAAGGGGGCUAGCGUUGUACGGAAUUACUGGGCGUAAAGCGCACGUAGGCGGCUUUGUAAGUUAGAGGUGAAAGCCCAGAGCUCAACUCUGGAACUGCCUUUAAGACUGCAUCGCUUGAAUCAUGGAGAGGUUAGUGGAAUUCCGAGUGUAGAGGUGAAAUUCGUAGAUAUUCGGAAGAACACCAGUGGCGAAGGCGACUAACUGGACAUGUAUUGACGCUGAGGUGCGAAAGCGUGGGGAGCAAAC
rnacentral:rRNA from 1 species